UGGCGGUAAUUAAUCUUAUCAGAGGAACCUGUUCUGUGAAUAACAUUACAUGAUUAGCUUUACUUACUUUUAUUUUAUAUACCGUUGUGUAAAAAUUAAGUGUUUAUUUAAUUUUAAUUUUUUAAAUUAAAAUAAUUCAAAUCAAGGUUUAGUUUAUAGGUAAGAAGAAAUGGGUUACAAUUUAUUUAUAUUUGGAAUUAAAGUGAAAUUGGAUUUGAGAGUAAUUUUUUUUGUUUAUAGGUUUGAAUAAAGCUCUUAAUU
rnacentral:rRNA from 1 species